AUGCAUUCACUUCACGAUUCUGUUUAUCGGAGAUUGUACCUAUACUGGGAGAAGGUGCAACCAAUCACCGGUCCAAAAUAUGAUCCGUUGGCAUUGUUGAGCCCGCUGAUGAGGAACUGGACGGAAGAUAUGGCUGUGAGAAGAGACAAAUACGACUACGAAUAUGGUCGUGGUGUUGGGAUGAUUGAUGACAACAUUACAGAGGAGUAUAGGUUGAAAAAAAUUGCGGAAGAAGAAGCUCAAAAAACCAAGAAAGCUAGUAGCAAAAAAUCUAACGUUAUUGGAACGAGGAAAGAGGGCAGUACCUCGGAGGCUUCGAGCCAGAAGCCUACUAUGGACCGGAUUUUGAGUGAGAUGAAUGAGCUUCGGAAGGAAAUGCUUCGUUUGCCAGAGUUAUGCGCACAGAGGAUGAUUGAGAAACUGAACAAAACCGGCGUCUCCUACAAACCCAGUAACCUGGAAGAGGACGAAGAGAAUCUGUACGGAGGCAUUAAUGAGUCUUCAAACGAUGUUGGACGUCCGCAAAAAGAGUUUGUAUAUCAAAAAGAUGAUUCAGACCGGUUCCGCACACCUUCCAAAAUGAAUUUGCAAAAGGAUGAUAACGGCGUUGAUGUAACUUCUCGUGAAAACACACCUUUUUACUGCACACCUGAGUACUGGGAUAGUUUCAAGGGAGUACAAGAGGAAGUGGAGGAGGUUACUGGCAGGCGCAAGCGCAGAGGAUCACAACAUGUCAAGUCUCCUUAUGUGGUCCCUAAACCAAACAAACGUGCAAAACGUUCUGCCAAAGGAAAAUUGUUCCAAAAUGGUGAUGUUAACAAAUCUGGUGAUGAGUAUGAUGUGGUGAAAGCGUCCAUCAAGUACGUGCGUGCGCAUGAGCAUUUACAAAAACAUGCCAAAACAGAAAUUUUCAAUGAUGGCAUGGAAGAAGGUCUCACUAGAAAACAACUAGCAGAAGAUAUCCAAGAAGCAAAUGCAACCGGAAUUGUGAAUUAUCCGGAUGUUUCCAAGUGGCCUAUUCAAACGUAUGACAUGCCAAAACAACAUGAUGGGAAUUCGUGUGGACUAUUUCUCCUUCGAUGCUUUCAAAAUUGGGAUGGUGACAAAUGGACAGGCUUAUUUUCACAGACCUCAAUUGAUGAUUCGAGAGAGUUAAUGAUUGCGCAACUUAUAUUUUCGGAAAGAAACAAGCUUGAUGAAGUGAAAAACAAAGUUAUUCGGAUAUCAAAGAAGAAGAAAUAG
rnacentral:rRNA from 1 species